AUGACGUCAGGAUCUGUAUAAAUACCGCCCUCUGUCUUCGUCACAUCCUCUUUCCAUUGCUCUUCUCGCUUCGAGAAUCUUCUCCACACGAUGAGAGCUAAGUGGAGGAAGAAGCGUAUGCGCAGGCUGAAGCGUAAAAGGAGAAAGAUGAGGCAGAGGUCCAAGUAAGCCCUCAUCGCUACAGCUGUGAUCCCGUCCGAGCCUCUCCAUACGACUGACACGCCUGGCAGAAGGACUGUGGAGCUGCCAUCAGCGAAACAAAGGCCCUAACCUGUUUUCAGAAGACGACACAACUCGAGCCAGCAGUGGAUGUCGGCCUGGAAGACGGCAAAGACGCUGGACCGAUAUUGCAACAUCAGAACGGCAGCUGCUGUGUUCAUGGACCAUUAUACAUAUUGUUUACCAACUGUCAUGUGGUGUAUUGAACAAUAAAUGAACACUGUUUAAAAGUUGA